UCUCCGUAGGUGAACCUGCGGAGGGAUCAUUACUGAGUGAGGGCUCACGCCCGACCUCCAACCCUUUGUGAACACAUCUUGUUGCUUCGGGGGCGACCCUGCCGGCACUUCGUCGCCGGGCGCCCCCGGAGGUCUCCAAACACUGCAUCUCUGCGUCGGAGUUUGAAACAAAUUAAACAACUCUUUCACCAACGGAUCUGUUGGUUCUGGCAUCGAUGAAGACCGCAGC
rnacentral:misc_RNA from 1 species